GAUGAACGCUGGCGGCGUGCUUAACACAUGCAAGUCGAACGAAGCAUUUACGACAGAUUUCUUCGGAUUGAAGUUGUUUAUGACUGAGUGGCGGACGGGUGAGUAACGCGUGGGUAACCUGCCUUGUACUGGGGGAUAGCAGCUGGAAACGGCUGGUAAUACCGCAUAAGCGCACGGUGCUGCAUGGCACAGUGUGAAAAACUCCGGUGGUAUAAGAUGGACCCGCGUCUGAUUAGCUAGUUGGUGAGAUAACAGCCCACCAAGGCGACGAUCCGUAGCCGACCCCAGAGGGUGACCGGCCAUAUGGGGACUGGUACACGGCCAAGACUCCUACGGGAGGCAGCAGUGGUGAAUAUUUAACAAUGGAGGAAACUCUGAUGCAGCGACGCCGCGUGAGUGAAGAAAUAAUUCAUUAUGUAAAGCUCUAUCAACAGGGAAGAUAGUGACGGUUCCUGACUAAGAAGCUCCGGCUAAAUACGUGCCAGCAGCCGCCGUAA
rnacentral:rRNA from 1 species